rnacentral:rRNA from 1 species
GGGGAAUAUUGCACAAUGGAGGAAACUCUGAUGCAGCAACGCCGCGUGAGUGAUGAAGGUCUUCGGAUUGUAAAGCUCUGUCUUCUGGGACGAUAAUGACGGUACCAGAGGAGGAAGCCACGGCUAACUACGUGCCAGCAGCCGCGGUAAUACGUAGGGGGCAAGCGUUGUCCGGAAUUAUUGGGCGUAAAGCGCGCGCAGGCGGCUGUUUAAGUCUGGUGUAUAAUCCUGGGGCUCAACUCCGGGUCGCACUGGAAACUGGAUGGCUUGAGUGCAGAAGAGGAGAGUGGAAUUCCACGUGUAGCGGUGAAAUGCGUAGAGAUUAGGAAGAAUACCAGUGGCGAAGGCGGCUUUCUGGACUGUAACUGACGCUGAGGCAUGAAAGCGUGGGGAGCAAAC